UACGAAGGGGGCUAGCGUUGCUCGGAAUCACUGGGCGUAAAGGGUGCGUAGGCGGGUCUUUAAGUCAGGGGUGAAAUCCUGGAGCUCAACUCCAGAACUGCCUUUGAUACUGAAGAUCUUGAGUUCGGGAGAGGUGAGUGGAACUGCGAGUGUAGAGGUGAAAUUCGUAGAUAUUCGCAAGAACACCGGUGGCGAAGGCGGCAUCCUGGACCGAUAUUGACGCUGAGGAGCGAAAGCCAGGGGAGCAAAUGGG
rnacentral:rRNA from 1 species